rnacentral:rRNA from 1 species
AUUGAACGCUGGCGGCAUGCCUUACACAUGCAAGUCGAACGGUAACGGGCCUUCGGGUGCCGACGAGUGGCGAACGGGUGAGUAAUGUAUCGGAACGUACCUUUCAGUGGGGGAUAACGUAGCGAAAGUUACGCUAAUACCGCAUAUUCUGUGAGCAGGAAAGCAGGGGAUCGCAAGACCUUGCGCUGAUUGAGCGGCCGAUAUCAGAUUAGCUAGUUGGUGAGGUAAAGGCUCACCAAGGCGACGAUCUGUAGCGGGUCUGAGAGGAUGAUCCGCCACACUGGAACGGAGACACGGGCCAGACUCCUACGGGCGGCAGCAGUGGGGAAUUUUGGACAAUGGGGGAAACCCUGAUGCAGCCAUGCCGCGUGAGUGAAGAAGGCCUUCGGGUUGUAAAGCUCUUUCGGCCGGGAAGAAAUCGUAUCAGCUAAUACCUGGUGCGGAUGACGGUACCGGCAUAAGAAGCACCGGCUAACUACGUGCCAGCCGCCGCAGUAACAC